rnacentral:rRNA from 1 species
UACAUGGGGUGCAAACGUUGCUCGGAAUUAUUGGGCGUAAAGAGCUCGUAGGCGGUUCGGUAAGUCGGGUGUGAAAACUUUGGGCUUAACCCAAAGCGUGCAUCCGAUACUGCUGUGACUUGAGUUCGGUAGGGGAGUGGGGAAUUCCUAGUGUAGCGGUGAAAUGCGCAGAUAUUAGGAGGAACACCGGUGGCGAAGGCGCCACUCUGGGCCGAAACUGACGCUGAGGAGCGAAAGCGUGGGUAGCAAACAGG